rnacentral:rRNA from 1 species
CAGUCGCCGCGGGAAUACGUAGGUGGCGAGCGUUGUCCGGAUUUAUUGGGCGUAAAGGGAGUGUAGGCGGUCUUCUAAGUCUGAUGUGAAAGCCCACGGCUCAACCGUGGAGGGUCAUUGGAAACUGGGAGACUUGAGUGCAGAAGAGGAGAGCGGAAUUCCAUGUGUAGCGGUGAAAUGCGUAGAUAUAUGGAGGAACACCAGUGGCGAAGGCGGCUCUCCGGUCUGUAACUGACGCUGAGGCUCGAAAGCGUGGGGAGCAAACAGGAUUAGAUACCCCGGUAGUCCCUGUCUCUUAUAC